CUGGGAGAAGGACCUUCCAAGUUUGGCCUCAGAGGACACCAAUAGGUAGCAUAUGAGAUUGGAAGAAAAACCUGCCCAAUUUGGCCUCAGACAACACCAAUAGGUAGCAUAUGGGACUGGAAGAACGAUCUUUAAAAUUUGGCCUCAGAGAACACCAAUAGGUAGCACAUGAGACUGGAAGAAGGACUUGCAAAAUUUGGCCUCAGACGACGCCAAUAGGUAGCAUAUGGGACUGGAAGAAGGAUCUUUAAAAUUGGGCCUCAGAGGACACCUAUAGGGCAGUCUAACCUGUUUUGACACAUCCAGCAAAGAACUAAAAGUGCUUAGAUAGCUCAGGGUAAGCGCACACACUCAGUAAAAGUUACCCCUUAAGCUCUUAUUUCGCAGCUAACAUAUAAGACUGGAAGAAGGCUGUUCAAAAUUUCGCAUCAGAAAACACCAAUAGGUCAGAUUCACCUGUUUUGACACUUUCAGCAAAGAACUAAAAGUGCUUAGAUUGCUUAGAGUAAGCACACAGACUCAAUAGAAGGUACCCCUUAAGCUCUUAUUUCUCAGGUAGCACAUGAGACUGGAAGAAGGACUUGCAAAAUUUGGCCUCAGACAACGCCAAUAGGUCAGUUUUACCUGUUUUAACAUUUUUAGCAAUGAAAUAUAAAGUGCUUAGAUUGCUCAAUGUAAG